GUCCCUGUAGACUAAUGGAUAGUGCGUUGGACUUCUAAUCCAAAGGUCGGGGGUUAGUAUCCCCCUGGGAUG